rnacentral:rRNA from 1 species
AGUGAACGCUGGCGGUAGGCCUAACACAUGCAAGUCGAACGGCAGCACAGGAGAGCUUGCUCUCUGGGUGGCGAGUGGCGGACGGGUGAGGAAUACAUCGGAAUCUACUUUUUCGUGGGGGAUAACGUAGGGAAACUUACGCUAAUACCGCAUACGAGCUACGGGUGAAAGCAGGGGACCUUCGGGUCUUGCGCGAGUGAAUGAGGCGAUGUCGGAUUAGCUAGUUGGCGGGGUAAAGGCCCACCAAGGCGACGAUCCGUAGCUGGUCUGAGCGGAUGAUCAGCCACACUGGAACUGAGACACGGUCCAGACUCCUACGGGAGGCAGCAGUGGGGAAUAUUGGACAAUGGGCGCAAGCCUGAUCCAGCCAUACCGCGUGGGUGAAGAAGGCCUUCGGGUUGUAAAGCCCUUUUGUUGGGAAAGAAAUCCAGCUGGCUAAUACCCGGUUGGGAUGACGGUACCCAAAGAAUAAGCACCGGCUAACUUCGUGCCAGCCGCCGCCGUAA